CCUACGGGAGGCUGCAGUGAGGAAUAUUGGUCAAUGGACGCGAGUCUGAACCAGCCAAGUAGCGUGAAGGAUGACUGCCCUAUGGGUUGUAAACUUCUUUUAUAUGGGAAUAAAAUGUUCCACGUGUGGGAUUUUGUAUGUACCAUAUGAAUAAGGAUCGGCUAACUCCGUGCCAGCAGCCGCGGUAAUACGGAGGAUCCGAGCGUUAUCCGGAUUUAUUGGGUUUAAAGGGAGCGUAGGUGGAUUGUUAAGUCAGUUGUGAAAGUUUGCGGCUCAACCGUAAAAUUGCAGUUGAAACUGGCAGUCGUGAGUACAGUAGAGGUGGGCGGAAUUCGUGGUGUAGCGGUGAAAUGCUUAGAUAUCACGAAGAACUCCGAUUGCGAAGGCAGCUCACUGGACUGCAACUGACACUGAGGCUCGAAAGUGUGGGUAUCAAACAGGAUUAGAUACCCUUGUAGUC
rnacentral:rRNA from 1 species